GACGGCAGACCUGAGGGCGCGCCGCGGGCCGACACCUCUCUGGGAGAGGCAGAGCAGCGUCUCCCCGUCUCCCGGAAGUGAGCCGUCCGCGGACACCUGAGGCUUCCUGCAGUCUCUGCGUGGAUUCGGAUUACAGCGGAAAUGAGGCCGCGCCACUGCGUUUCCAGCUAGUGAUGUUAAACCGCCGAGAUGUACGCUCGCCGGCACUCUGUCAAGCCGUUCACCUGGAGAUCACAAGUCUGCAUUUCUACCGAGAGAAAGAAGAGACAGUGUGGAACCCAGGGAGCGAGCAGUGAACUCCCGGGAAGGGCAUUCUGAACGUCACGUGCUGUCUGCCAGCUCUCACGUCGGGGCAGAGCCUCCGCACCUCCCUACUGGCCCGCGAGGCUGGGGCCCCGUGAGCUGUGGCGCCCCCCGCCCUCCUUGUGCUCUUUGGCUUUUCAUCUGCUGUUUCUCUCCCUUCCCAAAGCAGUUUCCCUUCGAGUCAUUUAUGUUGAAAAGUAUUCAUGCGCCACUGAAAGGCUGGAUGAGAAUUUAAGAAAGAGGCGGCAACCCCAUGGCUGGAAUAGCAGGAACACCUUCUGCUAGUUGCUCUUUAAGAGGAUGGAAGAAAGUAAGACCUCUCCUUACUAAAUUCAGUAUACACAAGUGUUCCAUAGAGAGCAGAGAUUUCUUCGGUACUGGGCUGCGGAUGUUGCUUAGCAGUAGAGAGCAUUUGUAGCACAUGUGAGGCCCUGGAUUUAAACCCCAGCACCAAGAAGAAAGAGAGAAAGGGAAAGGAAAGAGAGAAGGCAAAAGCCAAGAAAUGAGUGGAAAAGAGGAUUUCUUCAAUAUAAAAGUAAGCGAUCUUUGCAGAAGGGCGUUUCAUUUUCAUCUAGGCAAAAUGUAUGUGUUAUGAAAGGAUCUGCAGAUAAUGGCAUAAAGACAUAAAAUCUGUUACCUAUAGGGAGUGCGUAUUUAGAAGAACAGCUUUUGGGGAAAAGAUAAUAGCAUUGUAUGGUAGGUCCUUAAUUCAAAUCUUGUAAAAAUGUGAUUUAUAGUUUACAUAGUGUUUACUAAUGGUGCUACACGGUUGUUUUCAUAUAGGCUUCUCCUGUCAUCUGUUACUGAGUUAUUUUAAAAUACUUGUUUGUAAUGGUGUUGUCCCAGAAAUUUUAUGGGAAAUUAUUCUCAAAGUAUCUGGAAACCUCUGAGUCAGAGGUUCUAGGUGUCUCCACAUCUAGAUUUGUAAGGUGCUGGAUCAUCCAGUAUCUUUGCCCCUACAAGAUGUAGAUGCUGUCUUGGACCUUGUUAAGGGCAUCAGAAGGACUACAAGCUUUUUUUAUACAAAAGAUCCAAGUAAGUACACUCUAGAUAGGGACAUUUGCAGUGUAGUUCAAAAUAUUUCUAUACAUCUCACAACUGAGUAGAUAACUGUAGUUAUUCAUCUUUCAAAAAUUACUCCUGACAGAAGAUCAAAGUUACAUUUAAAAAAUCCCAAUCUUGUUUUCCUUCUUUCCACUUCUAGAAGGAGAUGACUCAAACGUGGUCAAGUCUGAAAACUGGCUUUAAUCUCUCAUGCAUUUCUUUUAUUGUGGAAAGUUGCUGAAAUCUUUGCAUUCAUAUUAAUAAAGAUUUGACUAUAAUCCAGGCACCAUUAAAUUAUUUCUUUUGCCCUUAGAAUUUUCACAUACCAUUACGACACUGCUUUCUCCAUUUAUGUAUUGAAGAUUCUCUGCUGAAAAAUUAAUAUCACAGAGUAUAAGUCAAAUAUCUAAUUUUCCAGUACUAGAGAAUGGAAAAUUCAUCUUAUUGAAAUACCCAUUAAAUAAAAAAGUAUAUUAAAGUCAGGUGUAGCCUCUAAAAUUUU
ensembl:lincRNA